AGUGCCAGUGCGCAAGAAAAAGUCAUGGUACACCAAAGAGUAAAAAUUAGAAGUGCUGGUACUGCAUACCGUGUCCCAGAUCUGUAGUUUGAUUCUUUUGCCCGGCUCGAUCUCCACCAGACGGGAGAAGAAGUCCACCCCCACAGUUGGGUCUGACACCUGGGCGAAGCGGCCCUCGGUGAACCUUCGGAUCAGACACGACUUGCCAACCGUGGAGUCUCCGAUGACGAUCAGACGAAACUGAUAAAGCCAUAUUGUCUCCAUCUCUCACCAAAAUAAAACCUGUGACAAAAUAAAAUCAUCCACUCA